GCCCCAUUAGCUCAGCCGGUAGAGCACUUGACUUUUAAUCAAGGGGUCCGGAGUUCGAAUCUCCGAUGGAGCACCA
rnacentral:tRNA from 1 species